AGAAAAAUAAGCUAAUAUUAAGCUAUUGGACUCAUAAUUCAAUUAUAGGUAAAACUUUUUUCUA
rnacentral:tRNA from 1 species